ensembl:lncRNA
GUUGAGGUUUGCUCCUCCUCCACUCAGGUGAUUUCUGGUGGGCAGAUUGCAGAUUGGUUUCACCUGGUAUAAGUGCUGCGCCUUCUCUGGCGUGCACACUGCUGCCUGGCACUCGUGGCGAAGACUCGGUGUGGCGUCUGUUAGUUGUUGGUUUGUUGUCGGUUGGUGUGGCGUGCUUCAGUCACUUGAAGCGUUGUUGGCCGUGUUGUUCGGGGGCGGCAUUGUGAAGAGUGAGGGGAGUGUGGCAUCCGCUCUGUACUGUUGCCGCAGCCGGUGAUCAGUUUCGGGGGCGUAAAGCUCUCUUCGUUCGGCUGUUGGAGCCGCAGCGGUGCUUUUGCUUUUCUUCCUCCUCCUGUGCUCUGGUGAAGCUGCCCUGCACGGCUCUGUGACGUAGCCUACACCUGGCGAUCCCAAACGUAAACCAUCCACGGCCUCCGGUCCUGGGGCGGCCGCUCUGUCUUCGCCAGCCACUCCGUCUUCUCCAUCCACUCCGUCGUCUUCAUCAUCUUCGGCUGCUCCGGCACCGUUGCCUUUUUCCACACAGUCCGAUGUGGCGGUUGCAUUCCCACGCAGCGCUAAGUUUUCAGUCCCACCACAACUCUUAUUGGUUUGGUUAAUUGUCUGCUUUUCCUUUCAUCUUUUUGUGUUUGUGUUCUUUAGUUUAUUUGUUUGGGUUAAAUCCUAUACAUACAUAUAUUUUUGUGUUGCGUUUUGUUGACCCAUUUGGGGUUAAGCAUAUCAAUAUUUUCUUAUUAUUUCUGAUCUAUUGCUUUGGGGUUCAACUGAUUAUUUUCUGUUUAGUUGAACAUAGCUGUUGGGUUUGUGUUUGGGGUGUUAAAUACGCCUGGCCCCCACCCACAGUUAAAUUUCGUUUGUUUCCUUAUUACUUGUCUUAAGAAUUAGUUGGGUUUCUGUAUAUUUGUAUUUGGGUUUAAAUAUUUGGUUAUGAGUCAGGUGUGUGUGUGUGUGUGUGUGUGUGUGUGUGUGUGUGUGUGUGUGUGUGUGUGUGUG